UACGAAGGGAGCUAGCGUUGUUCGGAAUUACUGGGCGUAAAGGGCUCGUAGGCGGCCAACUAAGUCGGACGUGAAAUCCCCAGGCUCAACCUGGGAACUGCGUCCGAUACUGGAUGGCUUGAAUUCGGGAGAGGGAUGCAGAAUUCCAGGUGUAGCGGUGAAAUGCGUAGAUAUCUGGAGGAAUACCGGUGGCGAAGGCGGCAUCCUGGACCGACAUUGACGCUGAGGAGCGAAAGCUAGGGGAGCAAACGGG
rnacentral:rRNA from 1 species